GGGCAGCUACUGGGAAGCCAUCAAAUGAUCCAGUAAUCCACCAACAUGCAGGCAGCGUGGGGUGGCUUUGAGGGCAUGAGCUCUGGAGUGGGACAGCUUGAACUCUCCAUCAGUUCUGUGACUGGCAGACCUCAACCUCUCUGCACCUCAGUUUCCUCGUGCACAAAAAGUAGGGUGAUAAUAUUUACUCCAGCAGACCGUUAGGCUUUCGGGAACCCAUGCGUAGAAAGCACUCAACACAGUGCCUGGUGUCUAGGAGGCCCUCAGCUUAUGCCCGUGUCUUCUCUUAAUCACAGCCAAGAAGUGUUUGGUAAUUACUUCCUGUAACAAAAAAGGUUCGCUAAACUGGCUGGACAGCAACGUCGACUGAAGAGACACAUAUUCCCACGUACUUUCAGGGAUGAGACCCAGAAGUCUCCCACAGGAAGCAUUUGGAGGAAGACAUCAGCCUGAAGUGACCUCAGCUGGUGCUGGCUGGUGAGGGAGGGAAGACUGGAGGCCUACAGAUGUCACCUGAUAACAUCAGGGGGAAAAGAGAGACCCUUCUUUGGCUGAGGAAUGCCAUUUAGCAGUAGAAAUGAGCCCAAAAGAUGCCUUCAGCCGUACUUUGAGAAGACGGACGACCCAGGAGAAAAAAAACAGGAGGAGAAGGGGCCUCCCUCUUUGAGCCAUGGAACUGGAAGCAAAGCAGAGGCUGCCCAAGAAGGAGAGGGAAAGGAGGCCAUGGGAAAAGCAGAGCUAGGCGGUGGGAACGGUGAUUUCUGAUGACGACGCUAAUUGAAGAACAAAGCCGAAUUUCAAUCCGAGAGCACGCCCCGCUCUGUAUGGAUCUCCCUGGCCCGUCUGUAACCUCCAGAAGAGGGAUUGCAACUGGAAAUGGCCAACGGGGGCAGCCUGGGACCCACACGUGGAUGGAGACUUUGGGGUUGCUUCAGUCCCUGGUCAAGUAAAGAUGGGCAUUUGCUUUUA